AGCUAAGCUACUAAGGGUUCAUGGUGGAUGUCUUGGUGCCAAGAGCCGAUGAAGGACGCAGCAGGUUGCGAUAAGCUUCGGGUAGCUGCCAAGCAAGCUUUGACCCGGAGAUCUCCGAAUGGGGCAACCCAUCUGGGGUAAUACCCAGGUAUUGGUACCUGAAUACAUAGGGUAUCAAGGGCAACGGAGGGAAGUGAAACAUCUCAGUACCUCCAGGAAAGGAAAGAAAAAUCUACUCCCUCAGUAGCGGCGAGCGAACGGGGACAAGCCUAAACCCGGCAUGUGUAAAAGCCCUUGUGCGUUGCAUGUCGGGGGUCGUGGGAAUCGAUUGGGUGGCGACAGGGAGCCGCCCGGGGAGUUACAAAGGUCAGCGUUAGCCAAACAGGCAGGAAAGCCUGGCCACAGCGGGUGAUAGCCCCGUAGGCGAAAAUUCUGACUCUCCCUCGUCGGUAUCCCAAGUAACGCGGGCCACGAGAAAGCCUGUGUGAAUUCGGGAGGACCACCUCCUAAGGCUAAGUACUCCUUGGCAACCGAUAGCGAACAAGUAGCGUGAGCGAAAGAUGAAAAGAACCCCUGUUAGGGGAGUGAAAUAGAACCUGAAACCAUGUACCUACAAGCGGUGGGAGCACUAUGGUGCGCCUUCGGGUGCACAACGUGUGACCGCGUACCUUUUGUAUAAUGGACCGGCGAGUUGCUGUGUACUGCUUGGUUAAGUGUUAUCAGACACGAAGCCGUAGCGAAAGCGAGUGUUAAUAGCGCGUCUUGGUAGUGCGCAGCAGACACGAAACCGGGUGAUCUACCCUUGGCCAGAAUGAAGCGGAUGUAAAAGUCCGUGGAGGUUCGAACCCGUCUACGUUGAAAAGUGGUGGGAUGAGCUGAGGGUAGGGGCAAAAGACUAAUCAAACCCGGUGAUAGCUUGUUCUCCUCGAAAUAGCUUUAGGGCUAGCCUCACGUGUUUCCGGAUAGGGGUAGAGCACUGAAUGGACUCUGGGGCCCACCAGGCUACCAGGUCCAAUCAAACUCCGAAUACUAUCCGUCCAAGCGUGGGAGUCAGACCCUGGGGAUAAACUCCUAGGUCAAGAGGGAAACAGCCCAGACCGUCGGCUAAGGCCCCCAAAACAGUCUAAGUGAAAAAGGAAGUGAGAGUGCUAAGACAGCUAGGAUGUUGGCUUAGAAGCAGCCAUCAUUUAAAAAGUGCGUAAUAGCUUACUAGCCGAGUGCUUUCGCGCCAAAAAUGAACGGGACUUAAGUCUGUUGCCGAAGCUGCGGAUCCGCCUCUGGCGGAUGGUAGAGGAGCGUUCUACGAUAGGCUGAAGGGAGACCGUGAGGACUCCUGGACGAUGUAGAAGUGAGAAUGUCGGUACGAGUAGCGAUAAUAUGAGUGAGAAUCUCAUUCGCCGAAAGCCUAAGGUUUCCUGGGGAAGGUAAAUCCGCCCAGGGUUAGUCGGGACCUAAGUCGAGGCCGAAAGGCGUAGACGAUGGACAACGGGUCAACAUUCCCGUACCACCACUAGGACGCUUGAGCAUGGGGGGACGGAGACAGGAAGGUUAGCAGGCCUAAUAGACAUGGUCUGUCUAAGCCCGAGAUGCCGUUCCAGGAAAAUCCGGAACGCCAAGGCAUCAAAGGCGAAUGCGUGGGCCUUGAGCCCGUAAGUAACCGGUACUGUCUUCCAAGAAAAGCCUCGUUUGCGAGUCCUGGCGGUGUCCGUACUAAAACUGACACAGGUAGGCGAGGUGAAUAUCCAAAGGCGCUCGAGAGAACCCUUGUUAAGGAAUUCGGCAAAAUUGCCCCGUAACUUCGGGAAAAGGGGCACCCGCUUUCGAGCGGGUCACAGCAAAGAGGCCCGGGCGACUGUUUACUAAAAACACAAGUCUGUGCAAAGACCAAAAGUCGAAGUAUACAGACUGACGCGUGCUCGAUGCCAGAAAGUUAAGGGAAUGGGUUAGUCCGCUUCGGUGGACGAAGCUCUGAACUGAAGCUCUGGUGAAUGGCGGCUCUAACUAUGAGAGUCCUAAGGUAGCGAAGUUCCUUGUCGGGUAAAUUCCGACGUGCAUGAAACGCGUAACGACUUGGGCGCUGUCUCAACAAGGGACUCGGCGAAACUGUAGUCGUGGUGAAGAUGCCACGUACCCGCGGCAAGACGGAAAGACCCCGUGAACCUUUACUGUAACCUACUAUUGAGUUUUGGCAUGAUAUGUGUAGGAUAGGUGGGAGACUUUGAAGUCCGCUCGCUAGGGCGGAUGGAGUCAUCCUUGAAAUACCACUCUUAUUAUGUUAGGACCCUAACCUGGUGCCGUGAAUCCGGGCCGGGAACAGUGGUAGGCGGGCAGUUUGACUGGGGCGGUCUCCUCCUAAAAGGUAACGGAGGAGCCCAAAGGCCUCCUCAGUGCGGUUGGUAACCGCAUGUAGAGUGUAAGGGCAUAAGGAGGCUUAACUGCGAGACAUAUAUGUCGAGCAGGUGUGAAAGCAGGGCCUAGUGAUCCGGUGGUUGCGUGUGGAAGCGCCAUCGCUCAACAGAUAAAAGGUACUCCGGGGAUAACAGGCUGAUCUUCCCCGAGCGUUCAUAGCGGCGGGAAGGUUUGGCACCUCGAUGUCGGCUCAUCGCAUCCUGGGGCUGAAGAAGGUCCCAAGGGUUCUGGAGUUCACAGAUUAAAGCGGUACGUGAGCUGGGUUUAGACCGUCGUGAGACAGGUCGGUCCCUAUCUGCCGUGGGCGUUCGAUACUUGAGGAGAGCUGUCCCUAGUACGAGAGGACCGGGAUGGACGAACCGCUGGUGUACCAGUUGUCGCGCUAGCGGCACAGCUGGGUAGCUAAGUUCGGAAGGGAUAAACGCUGAAAGCAUCUAAGCGUGAAGCCCCCUCCAAGAUUAGGUAUCGCAUCCCCUUGAGGGAGAAAGACACCUUGUAGACUACGAGGUUGAUAGGCCAGGUGUGUAAGUGCAGUAAUGUACUUAGCUAACUGGUACUAAUUUGUCGAGGAGCUUGGUUGC
rnacentral:rRNA from 1 species